CCAAUAGCGUAUAUUAAAGUUGUUGCAGUUAAAAAGCUCGUAGUUGGAUCUAGGGACGCGCAUUUCAAGCGCCCGUGCCGUCGGGUCAAACCGGCGGCUGCGUUGGCGUUGCGGGCUCGGUCCGUCGGUGCCCCACAAAGGGCUAUCGGCGUGUCAACCGGCCCGCCCGUCCCCUCCUUCUGGAUUCCCGUUCCUGCUAUUGAGUUAGUGGGGACGUCACAGGGGGCUCAUCGUCGUCGUGCAAACGGCGGCGGUGGGUCCCUGGGGCCCAGAUCGUUUACCGUGAAAAAAUUAGAGUGUUCAAAGCAGGCAGAUCCAAUUUUCUGCCACCGAAUACAUUAGCAUGGGAUAAUGGAAUAGGACCCUGUCCUCCUAUUUUCAGUUGGUUUUGGCAGCGCGAGGACUAGGGUAAUGAUUAAUAGGGAUAGUUGGGGGCAUUAAUAUUUAAUUGUCAGAGGUGAAAUUCUUGGAUUUAUGAAAGAUUAACUUCUGCGAAAGCAUCUGCCAAGGAUGUUUUCAUUAAUCAAGAACGAAAGUUAGGGGAUCGAAGACGAUCAGAUACCGUCGUAGUCUUAACCAUAAACGAUGCCGACCAGCGAUUAGGAGACGUUGAAUACAAAACACCACCAUCGGUGCGGUCGUCCUUGGCGUCGGUCUUUCGGGGCCGGCGCGGGGACGGCUUAGCCCGGUGGCACCGGUGAAUGACUCCCCUAGCAGCUUGUGAGAAAUCAUAAGUCUUUGGGUUCCGGGGGGAGUAUGGUCGCAAGGCUGAAACUUAAAGGAAUUGACGGAAGGGCACCACCAGGAGUGGAGCCUGCGG
rnacentral:rRNA from 1 species